rnacentral:lncRNA from 1 species
AGUAAAUACCAAAAUAUAUAUUUUUUUCCCUUAAAUAUAAAUAACAAUUUAUCCUAUUGUAAUCCAAGAUUAUGCAAACCCCCUCACCACAAAAAAUAAAUUCAUAAGAAUUUUCCACGUUAACACCUUUUCCAAACUUCAAAAAAAAUCCCAACUUGGCAACUAUAUAAUAUCAUAUCAGAAAAAAAAAACUGCAUAAGUCCCUCAUCUAAGUGGACAAAAUUGUCCCAUAUAUAUGCUGGUACGAGAUGACACAUGCCUCAAAAUUAAUCGAUGUGUGCAAAUUGACUCAAAACACUACGAAUAUAGAAAAGAACACUGCAAGAAUUCUUAAUAUCAGGUCUACAAAGUUAUCCUAUACAUGUGCUGGUAUGACAUAACACGUGCCUCAAAAUUAAUCGAUCUGCAUAUAAACCGACUCAAACACUAGGAAUAUAGAAAGAAACAGUGCAAGAAUUCCUAAUAUCAGGUCUACAAAGUUAUCCUAUGCAUAUGCUGGUAUCUCAAGAUUAAUCGAGGUUCAUGCAGACUGACUCAAACACUAGGAGUAUACAUGUGCUGGUACGAGAUAACACGUGCCUCAAAAUUAAUCAAGUUACACACAAACUGACACUAUGAAUAUAUAAAAAACACUGCAAGAAUUUCUAAUAUCAUGUGUACAAAGUUAUCCUAUACAUGUGCUAGUGUGAGGUAACACAUGCCUCAAAAUUAAUCGAAAUGUGCACAAACUGACUCAAACACUAUAAUUAUAGAAAAGAACACUACAAUAAUUUCUAAUAUCACGUGUACAAAGUUAUCCUAUACAUAUGCAGGUAUGAGAUAACACGUGUCUCAAAAUUAAUCAAGGUACGCACAAACUGACACUAUGAAUAUAUAAAAAAACACGAAAAAAAUUCUCCUAUACAUGUGUUGAUAUGAGAUAACACAUGCCUCAAAAUUAACCAAGAUACGCACAAACUACACACUAAAUAUAUAUAUAAAAAAAAAGACUACAAGAUUCCUACUAUUAGGUAUGUGCUGGUAUAAAAUAACACGUGUCUCAAAAUUAAUCAAGGCGAACACUACGAAUACAGAAAAGAACACUGCAAGAAUUCCUAAUAUAAGGUUUACAAAGUUAUUCUAUACAUAUGCUGGUAUGAUAUAACACGUACCUCAAAAUUAAUCGAGGUGCAUAUCAACUGACUCAAACACUAGGAAUACAGUAAGAAACACUGCAAGAAUUCCUAAUAUCAAGUAUAACUUAAGUGCGAGAUAAAUUAAUCGAUAUAUACACAAACUGAUUCGAACACAACAAAUAAAUAUACAAAAAAAAAAAAA